GCUUACAGAUACUUUUUACACUUUUACAAAAUGUUGCACAAGAAGAAGCUGCAGCGCAGAGUUUUUACCAAACGUACUUUUGUGACAUUCUUCAGCAUAUCUUUUCUGUUGUGACAGACACCUCACAUACUGCGGGUCUAACAAUGCAUGCAUCAAUUCUCGCAUAUAUGUUUAAUUUGGUUGAAGAAGGAAAGAUAAGCACACCGCUAAAUCCCGGAAGUCCAGUUAGCAACCAGAUGUUUAUUCAAGACUACGUGGCUAAUCUCCUUAAGUCUGCGUUCCCUCACCUACAAGAUGCUCAAGUAAAGCUCUUUGUGACAGGACUUUUCAGCUUAAAUCAAGAUAUUCCUGCUUUCAAAGAACAUCUAAGGGAUUUCUUAGUUCAAAUAAAGGAGUUUGCAGGUGAAGACACAUCGGAUCUAUUUUUGGAAGAGAGAGAAACAGCUCUUCGACAGGCUCAGGAGGAGAAACAUAAACUUCAAAUGUCUGUACCUGGAAUCCUUAACCCACAUGAAAUCCCAGAAGAAAUGUGUGACUAAAUCUGAAGUCCCGAAGCCCCGCUAGGCUCUUUUCCCUGUGCAGCGUUUGUCCUGGGAGAGCAGCAGAUGGGUUCUCUGUCGACCAAAAUGAUGCCAAUUUGUAAAUUAAAAUGUCACCUAGUGGCCCUUUUUCUUAUGUGUUUUUUGUAUAAGAACUUUUCUGUGAAAUAUCCUUUCAUUGUUUAAGCUUUUGUUUUGGUCAUCUUUAUUUAGUUUGCAUGAAGUUGAAAAUUAAGGCAUUUUUAAACAACUUUUACUUCAUGCCCAUUUUGAGGCAAUGCUGGGGGAAGGCAGCAAGUAUGAUUUGAGAAUAUACUUGUAAAUUCUAAUACAAAUUAAUUAUAAAAUUUUUCUUGUAAACAAUACAAAUUUUAAUUAGGGAGCAUUUUUUCUAGUCUGUAUCUCAGUCUAGAAGGAAAUACUGAGUAAAAGCAGUUGCGCUAACGGAUUAUAGCGCUGCGCUGUCUGGAGUUGGCGCCUCCUGAGCUGAAUCGUUGUCUCUGGACUACAUGUAUUACGGUCUGUGUGUCGAGUUGCAGCAAGAUCAUGUGCAUAUCAUCCCAUUUUAAAGUAACUCUGAAAGUAUGGGAACAGUUAGUUAUUUUUACACAGUUCUUUUGUUUGUGUGUGUGCGCUGUCGCUUGUCGACAACAGCUUUUUGUUUUCCUCAAUGAGGAGUGUUGCUCAUUUGUGAGCCUUCAUUAACUCAAAGUGAAAUGGUUAAAAAAAUUUAUCCUGUUAGAAUAGGCUGCAUCUUUUUAACAACUCAUUAAAAACAACAACAACGAAAACAAAACUCUGGCUUUUGAGAUGACUUAUACUAAUUCACAUUGUUUACCAAGCUGUAGUGCUUUAAGAACACUACUUAAAAGGCAAAAUAAACUUGGUUUACAUUU
rnacentral:lncRNA from 1 species